rnacentral:rRNA from 1 species
AUUGAACGCUGGCGGCAGGCCUAACACAUGCAAGUCGAGCGAGCGGCGGACGGGUGAGUAAUGUAUGGGGACUGCCCGAUAGAGGGGGAUAACUACUGGAAACGGUAGCUAAUACCGCAUACUAUCGGAUAACCCAUAUGGGAUUAGCUAGUAGGUGAGGUAAUGGCUCACCUAGGCGACGAUCCAUAGCUGGUCUGAGAGGAUGAUCAGCCACCCGUGGACUGAGACACGGCCCAGGCUCCUACGGAGGAAGCAGUGGGGAAUAUUGCACAAUGGGUGAAAGCCUGAGGCAGCCAUGCCGCGUGUAUGAAGAAGGCCCUAGGGUUGUAAAGUACUUUCAGUCGGGAGGCGUUACCUACAGAAGAAGCACCGGCUAACUCCGUGCCAGCAGCCGCGGUAAUAC